GGCUAGGUAGCUCAGUUGGUAGAGCAGGGGACUGAAAAUCCCCGUGUCGGGGGUUCGAUUCCCUCCCUAGCCA
rnacentral:tRNA from 1 species